GACGAACGCUGGCGGCGUGCUUAACACAUGCAAGUCGAGCGGUAAGGCCCUACGGGGUACACGAGCGGCGAACGGGUGAGUAACACGUGGGUGACCUGCCCUCCACUCUGGGAUAAGCCUGGGAAACUGGGUCUAAUACCGGCUAUGACCUUCUGCUUCAUGGUGGUUGGUGGAAAGGUUUUCGGUGGGGGAUGGGCCCGCGGCCUAUCAGCUUGUUGGUGGGGUGAUGGCCUACCAAGGCGACGACGGGUAGCCGGCCUGAGAGGGCGACCGGCCACACUGGGACUGAGACACGGCCCAGACUCCUACGGGAGGCAGCAGUGGGGAAUAUUGCGCAAUGGGCGGAAGCCUGACGCAGCGACGCCGCGUGGGGGAUGACGGCCUUCGGGUUGUAAACCUCUUUCGCCAGGGACGAAGCUAACGUGACGGUACCUGGAUAAGAAGCACCGGCCAACUACGUGCCAGCAGCCGCCGUAAGAC
rnacentral:rRNA from 1 species